AGAGUUUGAUCCUGGCUCAGGACGAACGCUGGCGGCGUGCCUCACACAUGCAAGUCGAACGGGGAUAUAUUGAAAGCUUGCUUUUGAUAUAUCCUAGUGGCGAACGGGUGAGUAACACGUGAGCAACCUGCCCGACAAACCGGGAUAACAGCGGGAAACUGCUGCUAAUACCGGAUACACCAGGUAUGGCGCAUGCUGUAUCUGGGAAAGGGUUUACCGAUGUCGGAUGGGCUCGCGUCCCAUUAGCUAGUUGGUGAGGUAACGGCUCACCAAGGCGACGAUGGGUAGCUGGUCUGAGAGGACGAUCAGCCACACUGGAACUGAGACACGGUCCAGACUCCUACGGGAGGCAGCAGUGGGGAAUCUUGCACAAUGGGCGAAAGCCUGAUGCAGCGACGCCGCAUGGAGGAUGAAGGCCUUCGGGUCGUAAACUCCUGUCUGGGGGGAUGAACACUGACAGUACCCCCGGAGGAAGCCCCGGCUAACUACGUGCCAGCAGCCGCGGUAAUACGUAGGGGGCGAGCGUUGUCCGGAAUUACUGGGCGUAAAGCGCGCGCAGGCGGCCUAUUAAGUCAGGUGUUAAAAUGCGGAGCUUAACUCCGUAUCGCACUUGAAACUGGUAGGCUUGAGUGCAGGAGAGGGAAGUGGAAUUCCCAGUGUAGCGGUGAAAUGCGUAGAUAUUGGGAGGAACACCAGUGGCGAAGGCGACUUCCUGGACUGUAACUGACGCUCAGGCGCGAAAGCUAGGGGAGCAAACAGGAUUAGAUACCCUGGUAGUCCUAGCCGUAAACGAUGGGUACUAGGUGUUGGGGGUUUCAAUCCUCCAGUGCCGCAGUUAACGCAUUAAGUACCCCGCCUGGGGAGUACGGCCGCAAGGCUGAAACUCAAAGGAAUUGACGGGGGCCCGCACAAGCGGUGGAGCAUGUGGUUUAAUUCGAAGCAACGCGCAGAACCUUACCAGCUCUUGACAUGGACAGGACCGGCUCAGAGAUGGGCUUUCCCCGCAAGGGGCCUGUUGCACAGGUGCUGCAUGGCUGUCGUCAGCUCGUGUCGUGAGAUGUUGGGUUAAGUCCCGCAACGAGCGCAACCCUCGCCUCCAGUUGCCAGCACGUUUGGGUGGGCACUCUGGAGGAACUGCCGGUGACAAGCCGGAGGAAGGUGGGGAUGACGUCAAGUCCUCAUGGCCCUUAUGGGCUGGGCUACACACGUGCUACAAUGGCGGUGACAGAGGGAUGCGAGGUGGUGACGCCAAGCCGAUCCCGAAAAGCCGUCUCAGUUCAGAUCGUACCCUGCAACUCGGGUACGUGAAGGUGGAAUCGCUAGUAAUCGCGGAUCAGCACGCCGCGGUGAAUACGUUCCCGGGCCUUGUACACACCGCCCGUCACACCAUGGGAGUUGGUUCUACCUUAAGUGGCUGCGGGAACCGCAAGGACCUAGGUCACCACGGUAGGGUCAGCGACUGGGGUGAAGUCGUAACAAGGUAACC
rnacentral:rRNA from 1 species